UACGUAGGGUGCAAGCGUUGUCCGGAAUUACUGGGCGUAAAGCGUGCGCAGGCGGUUCGUUGUGUCCGUCGUGAAAGCCCCGGGCUUAACCUGGGAACUGCGAUGGAAACUAGCGAGCUGGAGUGUGGCAGGAGGGGGGUGGAAUUCCGCGUGUAGCAGUGAAAUGCGUAGAGAUGCGGAGGAACACCCGUGGCGAAGGCGGCUCUCUGGGACGGUACUGACGCUGAGACGCGAAAGCGUGGGGAGCGAACAGG
rnacentral:rRNA from 1 species